rnacentral:ncRNA from 17 species
AAAUUAUCAAGAAAGGACGAGGGAACAGACCCAUCGACUCCUUAGCAACCCUUAACGCUCGUUAAGAAGGUGCUACAUUCUGCCCAUUUAAUUGGGAUGAGAUGAUAC